rnacentral:Y_RNA from 1 species
GGCUGGUCUGAGUGCAGUGGUGUUUACAGGUAAUUGAUCACAACCAGUUACAGAUUUCUGUGUUCCUUCUCCACUCCUACUGUUUCACUCGACUAGCCUAAA